rnacentral:lncRNA from 1 species
UGGGUGUGUUUAACAAAGCCUGGAUGUGGCACUGGGUGCCAGGGUUUAGGUGAGGGGCUGGGGCUGGGUUGGACUCGAUCUCGAAGGUCUCUUCCAAGUGAUUAGAAGGUCGAGAUCGAUGAUCUCGAAGGUCCCUUCCAAGUGAUUCUGUGAUUCUGUGGAUUCCCGGGCAGGCAUCCCAGGUGCUGAGCCCGUCCCCGCGUGUGACCGACAGCAGCAUCCCGUGGGAGAGAGCCAGGCAGCGAGGAGGGGAGGAGGAGGAGGAGGAGGAGGAGGAAGAGGAGGAGGAGGAGGAAGCCGAGCUGCCGAGUCAGCACUGCAGAGAGCGGCACAGCCGGGCCGGCUGCGAAGGACGCGCUCGCCGAGCCCACGGGAAAAUGGUUUGAGUAAUAAUCAACGCCUGCCGCUAUGUGGCCAGCAGGAUGAGGAGCCUGUGCAGCCGGGAGCCCCGGGAGCCACCGCCCUGCCCGGCGCAGGCAGCGCCCCAAAAACAGCAGCAGGGUAAGUGUGGGGACAGGGGACUGGGACACCCCCAUGUCCCAAAACCAUUAGCAGGGUAAGUGUGGGGACAGGGGACUGGGGCACCCCCAUGUCCCAAAACCAGCAGCAGGGUAAGUGUGGGGACAGGGGACUGGGACACCCCCAUGUCCAAAAACCAGCAGCAGGGUAAGUGUGGGCUCAGGGGACAGGGACACAUGUCCCAAAGCCAGCCGCAGAGUAAGUGUGGGGACAGAGGACUAGGACACCCCCAUGUCCCAAAGCCAGCAGCAGAGUAAGUGUGGGGACAGAGGACUAGGACACAUGUCCCAAAGCCAGCAGCAGAGUAAGUGUGGGGACAGAGGACUAGGACACCCCCAUGUCCCAAAACCAGCAGAAGGGUAAGUGUGGGGACAGGGAACAGGGACACAUGUCCCAAAGCCAGCAC